UGUCCCGUAAAUCGGGACUAGUAUGAAUGGCUAAACGAGGUCUUAACUGUCUCUUGCAGGCGAUCGGUGAAAUUGAUCUCCCUGUACAAAAGCAGGGAUAACAACAUAAGACGAGAAGACCCUGUGGAACUUUAAAAACAGCAACCACCCCAAGCACACAUACACACCCACCCCGGGCUCACUUACCUAAUGGGACAUUGGUUUGCAUUUUUUCGGUUGGGGCGACCUUGGAGCAAAACAAAACCUCCAAAUAUGGGACCAUACCUCCAGACUAAGAGCAACAUCUCAAAGUGCUAAUAGUAACCAGACCCAAUAUAAUUGAUCAAUGGACCAAGCUACCCCAGGGAUAACAGCGCAAUCUCCUCCGAGAGUCCAUAUCGACGGGGAGGUUUACGACCUCGAUGUUGGAUCAGGACAUCCUAGUGGUGCAGCCGCUACUAAGGGUUCGUUUGUUCAACGAUUAACAGU
rnacentral:rRNA from 1 species